rnacentral:tmRNA from 1 species
GGGGCUGCAAUGGCUUCGACGGGGACGAGGAAGUCCGGGAAGCGAGUAGCGGAUGAGCCGGCCGCUUUAAAACGGCUCAAACUUAAAUAUAAACGCUAACGAUUACGAAUUAGCUGCUGCCUAAACGGCAGUAUGUCUCCUCUGCGAGUACCGCGGCGCAGACUGAGGCAAAUACCAUGCGGUGAACGUGAGUUAAGGAGUGUUCCGGCCUUUUCCAUGACUUAGGGACUACCGAUGAUAUAACUUUGGUUGUGGAGUAGUAUCAAAGGGAAUGUUGACCAUAACCUGCACUCGGAGAAACCCGAAUGGAUUUGUUUUCGGACACGAGUUCGAUUCUCGUCAGCUCCACCA